rnacentral:rRNA from 1 species
CUGGCGGCAGGCCUAACACAUGCAAGUCGAGCGGUAGAGAGAAGCUUGCUUCUCUUGAGAGCGGCGGACGGGUGAGUAAUGCCUAGGAAUCUGCCUAGUGGUGGGGGAUAACGUUCGGAAACGGACGCUAAUACCGCAUACGUCCUACGGGAGAAAGCGGGGGAUCUUCGGACCUCGCGCCAUUAGAUGAGCCUAGGUCGGAUUAGCUAGUUGGUGAGGUAAUGGCUCACCAAGGCGACGAUCCGUAACUGGUCUGAGAGGAUGAUCAGUCACACUGGAACUGAGACACGGUCCAGACUCCUACGGGAGGCAGCAGUGGGGAAUAUUGGACAAUGGGCGAAAGCCUGAUCCAGCCAUGCCGCGUGUGUGAAGAAGGUCUUCGGAUUGUAAAGCACUUUAAGUUGGGAGGAAGGGCAGUAACCUAAUACGUUAUUGUUUUGACGUUACCGACAGAAUAAGCACCGGCUAACUUCGUG